GAUGAACGCUGGCGGCGUGCCUAAUACAUGCAAGUCGAGCGAAUGGAUUAAGAGCUUGCUCUUAUGAAGUUAGCGGCGGACGGGUGAGUAACACGUGGGUAACCUGCCCAUAAGACUGGGAUAACUCCGGGAAACCGGGGCUAAUACCGGAUAACAUUUUGAACUGCAUGGUUCGAAAUUGAGAGGCGGCUUCGGCUGUCACUUAUGGAUGGACCCGCGUCGCAUUAGCUAGUUGGUGAGGUAACGGCUCACCAAGGCAACGAUGCGUAGCCGACCUGAGAGGGUGAUCGGCCACACUGGGACUGAGACACGGCCCAGACUCCUACGGGAGGCAGCAGUAGGGAAUCUUCCGCAAUGGACGAAAGUCUGACGGAGCAACGCCGCGUGAGUGAUGAAGGCUUUUCGGGUCGUAAAACUCUGUUGUUAGGGAAGAACAAGUGCUAGUUGAAUAAGCUGGCACCUUGACGGUACCUAACCAGAAAGCCACGGCUAACUACGUG
rnacentral:rRNA from 1 species